CCCCUUCCGUUCCUUCCCAUCCCCGGCCGCCCCUUCCGUUCCUUCCCGUCCCCGGCCGCCCCUUCCGUUCCUUCCCGUCCCCGGCCGCCCCUUCCCGGCCCGGCAGCCCGCGCGGCGCGGGCGGAAGGCUUGGUGUGGCCGCGGCCCCGUGCGCCGGUAGAUCCGGGACGAGCGGCCCGGCCCCGAGAGCCUACGGGAGAGACAGAGGGACGUUUUCAGUGCGCAUGUAUGAGGAAAGGCUUACAGGCAUGCUUUCUUCUGGGAAGGCUUACAAGCAUGCUUUCAGUAUCCCUAAUAAAUUGUACAUGAUAGAACUAUUUAAGAGAAGUCACAGCAAAUUCAAUUCCCAUCUUCACUAGGACAAAAAUCUUCAAUAAAGGGGGAAAAAUAUAGACAAGAAACCACUUCAGACUGAGCAUGCCACGUUGCUGCCAUCUCCCCUCCCUCUUCAGUCUUAACCACUUCUUUCUGUCACAACUCAAAUUUACUUUACAGGCUUGUAUUUCCUCCAGGAAAAGACUGAACAAUCAUUUUAAAAAGUCAGAAGAAAAACAUUCAUCUCCAUCAAAUAAUUCAAUAAAAAGCAACAAAAUUAUUUUCAUCUCUGACUGAGAACUGCUUGUUUUCCUUCCACAGCACUGAGGAGUUAAUUCCACAAGAAAUGCAACAUCCAGGUCAGAGGCAGACAUGUUUCCCAUGUCUAACAGUGAGGACGACUGAGAUCUACGGUUUCCUGAACUCUGAACAGAGAGUUUAUUUAGACUAGAAGUAGACCCAGUUAAUUUUCCAGAACUUCCAUGAAGACCUGUGAAAUAAAGACACUAUGAAGAAGGAAAGUGAAGGCAGAAUAAAAUACUAAAGAAUAGGUUUGUUACAGAACAUGAGAUCAAGAGUUGCUAGUAGUCCUAUAUUAAAAUCAAACAACUUUUGUCUAAUCUA